AGAGUUUGAUCAUGGCUCAGGACGAACGCUGGCGGCGUGCCUAAUACAUGCAAGUCGAACGAAGCUUUCUUUCACCGAAUGCUUACAUUCACCGAAAGAAGCUUAGUGGCGAACGGGUGAGUAACACGUAGGCAACCUGCCCAAAAGAGGGGGAUAACACUUGGAAACAGGUGCUAAUACCGCAUAACCAUGAACACCGCAUGAUGUUCAUGUAAAAGACGGCUUUUGCUGUCACUUUUGGAUGGGCCUGCGGCGUAUUAACUUGUUGGUGGGGUAACGGCCUACCAAGGUGAUGAUACGUAGCCGAACUGAGAGGUUGAUCGGCCACAUUGGGACUGAGACACGGCCCAAACUCCUACGGGAGGCAGCAGUAGGGAAUCUUCCACAAUGGACGAAAGUCUGAUGGAGCAACGCCGCGUGAAUGAAGAAGGCCUUCGGGUCGUAAAAUUCUGUUGUCAGAGAAGAACGUGCGUGAGGGUAACUGUUCACGUAUUGACGGUAUCUGACCAGAAAGCCACGGCUAACUACGAGCCAGCAGCCGCGGUAAUACGUAGGUGGCGAGCGUUGUCCGGAUUUAUUGGGCGUAAAGGGAACGCAGGCGGUCUUUUAAGUCUGAUGUGAAAGCCUUCGGCUUAACCGAAGUAGUGCAUUGGAAACUGGAAGACUUGAGUGCAGAAGAGGAGAGUGGAACUCCAUGUGUAGCGGUGAAAUGCGUAGAUAUAUGGAAGAACACCAGUGGCGAAAGCGGCUCUCUGGUCUGUAACUGACGCUGAGGUUCGAAAGCGUGGGUAGCAAACAGGAUUAGAUACCCUGGUAGUCCACGCCGUAAACGAUGAGUGCUAAGUGUUGGAGGGUUUCCGUCCUUCAGUGCUGCAGCUAACGCAUUAAGCACUCCGCCUGGGGAGUACGGUCGCAAGACUGAAACUCAAAGGAAUUGACGGGGGCCCGCACAAGCGGUGGAGCAUGUGGUUUAAUUCGAAGCAACGCGAAGAACCUUACCAGGUCUUGACAUCUUCUGACAAUUCCAGAGAUGGAACGUUCCCUUCGGGGACAGAAUGACAGGUGGUGCAUGGUUGUCGUCAGCUCGUGUCGUGAGAUGUUGGGUUAAGUCCCGCAACGAGCGCAACCCUUAUUGUCAGUUGCCAUCAUUAAGUUGGGCACUCUGGCGAGACUGCCGGUGACAAACCGGAGGAAGGUGGGGAUGACGUCAAAUCAUCAUGCCCCUUAUGACCUGGGCUACACACGUGCUACAAUGGACGGUACAACGAGUCGCUAACUCGCGAGGGCAAGCUAAUCUCUUAAAGCCGUUCUCAGUUCGGAUUGCAGGCUGCAACUCGCCUGCAUGAAGUCGGAAUCGCUAGUAAUCGCGAAUCAGCAUGUCGCGGUGAAUACGUUCCCGGGCCUUGUACACACCGCCCGUCACACCAUGAGAGUUUGUAACACCCAAAGUCGGUGGGGUAACCUUUUGGAGCCAGCCGCCUAAGGUGGGACAGAUGAUUGGGGUGAAGUCGUAACAAGGUA
rnacentral:rRNA from 1 species